rnacentral:rRNA from 1 species
UACGUAGGGUGCAAGCGUUAAUCGGAAUUACUGGGCGUAAAGCGUGCGCAGGCGGUUUUGUAAGCCUGUCGUGAAAUCCCCGGGCUCAACCUGGGAAUUGCGAUGGAGACUGCAAGGCUGGAGUCUGGCAGAGGGGGGGUAGAAUUCCACGUGUAGCAGUGAAAUGCGUAGAGAUGUGGAGGAACACCGAUGGCGAAGGCAGCCCCCUGGGCCAGCACUGACGCUCAUGCGACGAAAGCGUGGGGAGCAAACAGG